CUAACCACACCACCACUACCUUAUUCAGAGGUAACUAACCACACCACCACCUUCUAAUAGGUAACUAAUCACACCACCACUACCUUCUUCAUAGGUAACUAACCACACCACCUUGUUCAUAGGUAACUAACCACACCACCACCUAUUGUUCAUAGGUUACUAACCACACCACCACUACCUUAUUCAGAGGUAACUAACCACACCACCACCUUCUAAUAGGUAACUAAUCACACCACCACUACCUUCUUCAUAGGUAACUAACCACACCACCACUACCUUAUUCAUCGGUAACUAACCACACCACCACCUUGUUAAUAGGUAACUAACCACACCACCACUACCUUGUUCAUAGGUAACUAACCACACCACCACUACCUUGUUCAUAGGUAACUAACCACACAACCUUGUUCAUAGGUAACUAACCACACCACCACCACCUUGUUCAUAGGUAACUAACCACACCACCACCACCUUGUUCAUAGGUAACUAACCACACCACCACCACCUUGUUCAUAGGUAACUAACCACACCACCACUACCUUGUUCAUAGGUAACUAACCAUACCACCUUGUUCAUAGGUAACUAACCACACCACCACGCUCAUAGGUAACUAACCACACCACCUUGUUCAUAGGUAACUAACCACACCACCACUACCUUGUUCAUAGGUAACUAACCACACCACCACAUUGUUAAUAGGUAACUAACCAUCCCACCACAACCUUAUUCAAGGUAACUAACCACACCACCACUACCUUGUUCAUAGGUAACUAACCACACCACCACUGCCUUGUUCGUAGGUAACUAACCACACCACCACUGCCUUGUUCGUAGGUAACUAACCACACCACCACUACCUUGUUCAUAGGUUACUAACCACACCACCACUACCUUAUUCAGAGGUAACUAACCACACCACCACCUUGUUAAUAGGUAACUAAUCACACCACCACCACCUUCUUCAUAGGUAA
rnacentral:lncRNA from 1 species